CCCUCCUACAAAGGCGUGUCUGCAGUUCCCUGUCUUUGGCCACUAAGAAUGGGAGGCAAAGAAAGAAAUGUGGACUUGGAGAAAUCUAGAACCAGCUUGCAGGUUCAAGAUCAACCAUCCCAAAUAG